ensembl:rRNA 5S_rRNA 5S ribosomal RNA
GUCUAUGGCCAUACCACCCUAAAUGUGUCUGAUCUUGGAAGCUAAGCAGGGCUGUGCCAGGUUAGUAUUUGAAUGGGAGCCGCCUAGGGAUACCAGUGCAGUAGGCU